rnacentral:piRNA from 1 species
UGAAGAGUUUUCAAAGUUGAGAGCCAUUCA